UUGAAUUUAGGACCUCUGGAAGGGCAG
rnacentral:piRNA from 1 species